UACGAAGGGGGCUAGCGUUGCUCGGAAUCACUGGGCGUAAAGGGCGCGUAGGCGGCCAUUCAAGUCGGAGGUGAAAGCCCAGGGCUCAACCCUGGAAUUGCCUUCGAUACUGUCUGGCUAGAGACCGGAAGAGGUAAGUGGAACUGCGAGUGUAGAGGUGAAAUUCGUAGAUAUUCGCAAGAACACCAGUGGCGAAGGCGGCUUACUGGUCCGGUUCUGACGCUGAGGCGCGAAAGCGUGGGGAGCAAACAAGAUUAAGAAACCCCGGUGAGU
rnacentral:rRNA from 1 species